AUGCGGAGGGAUCAUUACCGAGUUUACAACUCCCAAAACCCAAUGUGAACGUUACCAAACUGUUGCCUCGGCGGGGUCACGCCCCGGGUGCGUCGCAGCCCCGGAACCAGGCGCCCGCCGGAGGAACCAACCAAACUCUUUCUGUAGUCCCCUCGCGGACGUAUUUCUUUACAGCUCUGAGCAAAAAUUCAAAAUGAAUCAAAACUUUCAACAACGGAUCUCUUGGUUCUGGCAUCGAUGAAGAACGCAGCGAAAUGCGAUAAGUAAUGUGAAUUGCAGAAUUCAGUGAAUCAUCGAAUCUUUGAACGCACAUUGCGCCCGCCAGUAUUCUGGCGGGCAUGCCUGUCCGAGCGUCAUUUCAACCCUCGAACCCCUCCGGGGGAUCGGCGUUGGGGAUCGGGACCCCUCACACGGGUGCCGGCCCCUAAAUACAGUGGCGGUCUCGCCGCAGCCUCUCCUGCGCAGUAGUUUGCACAACUCGCACCGGGAGCGCGGCGCGUCCACGUCCGUAAAACACCCAACUUUCUGAAAUGUUGACCUCGGAUCAGGUAGGAAUACCCGCUGAACUUAAGCAUAUCAUAGCC
rnacentral:rRNA from 1 species